ACUGCCUCGCGUUUUACUGAUGACACAAGUUAAAGAGAGUUGUUUGGGGCAAAGCUGAACCCCCAACCGAAAGACUGGAACAACAAAUCCCGUCCAGCCAGAAAUAUGAAAUACUUAGUGAUCAGUUGUGACCUUUUCUAUUUACUGCUCUUCAUAUAUUAACUACAGUUUAAGAUCCGUAACACAUUUAUCUUUACUACAGAUAAAGAUAGUAAAUAUAUCUUUACUAUCAGUUUAAGGAAGUACUGGUAAUUGUGGUAAUUGUGUUUUCUGCGUUAUUUCAACCUUACACACCCAGUUUGAAAACUGUACAACAAAGCUUGUGAAAGCUUCAUUAAAUUCGUGAAAACUCAAAAAAGAACCACUUAUUCAGGACCUUAGAUGUGAUCUGUCUAGGAUGAAACUAUAUAUUACCCUGAAAACUUAAAAAUGGACUGAAUUAUUCUACAUUAGUCACAGAAUAUAUAAGAUACAGUUUGACUUCUUCAGUUUUCUCAAACUCAAUACAUUCUAUAUAGUUUCAUACUGAACAGUUGCAUAAAACGCAGUUUGGGAUUUGUGAAAACUUCAAACAGGAUAUGAAACUCAUGACAGUUUUUAGGGUAUUUUUAGAUUGACAUCACCUGACCUGAAAGCAGGUUUAUUUGGACCUGCUUUCAGAUGCGUAUCCAAACAGAAAUGGAAACAUAUUAGAAUCUUUCCUUUACUUGACAUUAUUUGAUAAAGUCAGUGUCUAUUUAACUUCCUGUAAUGUUUCACUUUGUAACAAGGCUGUUAAGAGGCUUGUUACUGUUUUCAAUUUGUCAAAUGUUGCAUUACUGAUGGCAUGCAGGCCCGGCGGCAUGGGUGAGCAUUGGGGGCCAUUGCCCGCCCACAGAGUCAGCCGUGUCCCCCCCUGGACUGGAAGCUGUUUGUUGUUUUUACCUUAAAGUGGCCAACUCUCUGUUGUUCAUAUAUUGAUUUGAUACAGUAGCGGCUUCCGCACUUGCCAUAUCUGUGCCUUUUGUCACUUUUUUCAGCAGUUAAAACCGUUUAAUCCGUUGUUAACACGUCGUAACCUGCUUUUCCGAGCCGCCUUUAAACGCAACAUGAGGACUGGGUUACACCUGUGCGGCAGCGAAGGAGACCUGCUGCUGUGCAGAGCUACUCAGGUAGAAUCAUGGCAGCAAACCAGCAAAACGAAAAUAACUUUGCACAGUUUUUCUCCUCAGACUAACCGAGUGAGUUGAGUAAUGCUGUUGGAUCCAGGUUAUGUUAGUAAAAGAUGACUAGUUAAUAACAAUACAGGACUUUAAGCUUGUUAACAAGCAGCCUAUAGGCUACUGAUGUUGUCUAUGUUCAAAAGUGUGUAGUACUUGUUACCUUCACUUGAGUAACUUUUUUGGGAAAAAUGUAUUUAUAAGAGUAGUUUUACUGCACUGCAUCUUUUUCUUUACUUGAGUUAUAUUAUUAUUGCUACAUAGAAUAAUUUUGCCCCCCUGUAAAACUCGUCUGGAGCCGGGCUGGCAGCACGUUGCUCAGUUGUUUCUUUAACUGGAUACUUGCUGCAUUGUGCCUGCAGGUUUUUUGUAUGUUUUUGUAAAAAAAAAAAACAUCAUACAACCAGUAUGCAUUUAUUUAGCAUUUAUAGCUAAAUUGAAAAGUUACCAGCCAACCCUGGUGAUCUGUAUUGUUGUGGGCACUCAAAUGCGAUAAUUUACGUUUUAGAAUCAAUUCUCAAAAAGGUUGAUUUCUAAUUCAAGCUACUAAAGCAUUACUUCUAUCAAUUAGUCUAAAUUAAUCUUUCUUAAAUUAGAGCCAAUUUGCUUCACCAACAAAACACAGCAGUGGAGUCAUCUAAAUUACUAGUUUUAUUAAUAAUUGCCCUAGGCAAUACAUAGUUAUUUACAGCCAAGCUAGACUCUGUCAUUGACUGCCAAUCCUCUGCUCACCAUGUCGUUUGUUGCUUCACCUGUAGUCACUCAUAAGAUUCCCUAAAAUUAGUUGAGCAUUGGUUGAGUGUGGGAUCUAGAACUUUAUCUGUUAUGUCAAAACCUGCCUUCCGUUAUUGUAUUCAUUAAAAUUCAAAUUCAAAAAUAGUUUAUUAAUCCCAAGGAGACAUUAAAUGUUGUAACUCCUUAAUUUAGAUUCUUCAAAGAUUUAUUGAAGAUCGUGAUGGAUGUUGGCAGGGAAGAUCUCUUGUAGCAGACUGUAUUACAGCGGAUCUGAAGAAGCCUCUGACUGAAGAUGCUCUGCCUUCCCAACACAGUCUGGUGGAUAGGAUGCUCAGGGUUGCCCAUAAUUUUCUUCAUUUUAUGAAGAAUCAUCUCCAGAGGUUCCACAGUCAUCCCCAGAACAGAACCAGAACAAAACCAGGCUUCUUUAUCAGACUGUUGAGCCUUUUUAUGUCCCUGGCUCUGGUGCUGCUGCCCCAAUAGAUGACAGUAGAAGAGAUGACGCUCUCACCAACAGUCUUAUAGAAGAUCUGCAGCAUCUUGGUGCAAACCUUGAAGGAUCUUAGCGUCCUCCUGCUGUCUCUUCUUAUAGGCGCUUCACUGGUGCAUCUCCAGUCCAGUCUGUUGUCCAGAUGAAAACCAAGGUAUUUAUAUUCCUCAACCACCUAAACCUUCUUCUCCCAUGAUGGAAAUUGGGUUUGAUCUAAUCCCGUUCCUCCUGAAAUCAACAGUCAUCUCCUUUGUAGUUAUCAUGUUACACACCCAGCACUUCCGAUGCAAAACCCUGAUUUUCUCCAAAACUUUGUGUGUAAAGAGGAAGAGGUUCUCAAUGAGCUCAGCAACCAGGAAGAGAACUCCACUUUACAUCAAGAAGAUCCAGAACCUCUGCGGAUAAAACAGGAA